rnacentral:rRNA from 1 species
GGUUAAGCGAAUAAGCGUACACGGUGGAUGCCUAGGCAAUCAGAGGCGAUGAAGGACGUGCUAAUCUGCGAAAAGCGUCGG